rnacentral:lncRNA from 1 species
GCUUCCCCUUCUCAACAGGGGCCAGAGCCUGCCAGGACCUCAAAGAGGAGAGCUUCAGAGGCCCAGCUGACAUACUAGGCAUAGGGGCCAAAGAGUCUACCUUGAGAAAGGUUUUUAUAUCUCAAAUUUGACCCACUCUUGAAUGACAGCUCUAAGAAACUGGCUUCUCAGGAAACUGAGACAAACAGCAUCUGUGAUGCUACCAUGCCUUCCUUAGGAAGUCGGCCUGAAGCAAAGCCGGUGGAAUCUGAUUUCUAGCGACUCCGGGUGUUCGUGUUCCUGUGAUAGGGCCUCCCUUAUGUGUCCAUUGGCCCCAUUGUGGAUAUACUGCAGUUUAGCCAGAAAGACCUGGAUGUGGAGGUUAAAGCCACACAAAUGGAUAAACUGGAAUUAAAAAGCAUGAGGAGCUUUCCAUGAAAAAUGCCUGGAGAUGGGGAAAAUCAUGGAUGGGAUUGUAACCCAGGUGAUGGAGGUGUCUCAGAAACAGAGGAAGCUUGCCAAAGCUGAAAUCCAGAAGGUUCUGAAAGAAAAAAAAAAUCAAGACCAACUUACUAGACGUGAACUCCACGAAAAAAAAAUCUCAUCUUUUCAAGGGAUUUGAGAAGCAGGAAGCUAGUGAAGCCUACUACAAAAAUGAAUAAUGGCUAAAAUUAUUAUGCUAAGCAUUACAUAUUAGGAAGACCAGAGAUACCAAGCAUUAAAAGCCCACACAUAAAAGAAACCCAAUCUAGUAAAUGAGGAAAUUAUGCAGGUCCAGAGGAAGACCUGAGUGGAUGACUUGGCUCUUCCAGGUGAGCCUGAUAAACAGGUAUGGAUCCGUUCCCUUGAGAGCAUUCAGCAGAAAAUAAAAGACUAAAGAAAAUGAUAAACUGAUCAGAAUCUGUAAUUACCUGUUUUCAGAAGUAUAAAAACC